rnacentral:rRNA from 1 species
AUAACUCGAUAAUCCACGUAUGCCCAACCUUCUCUAGAUACCCAGCAUGUGUACUGCCGUUGUAAGCAUACCUUUAAAAGAAUAGUAUGCUACUAUGAUUAAAUAACUAAACUCAUAUACAUCAGGUCAAAGUGCAGCUAAUAAGAAGGUGAUGAUGGGUUACAACCCUAAAACAGAUCAUCAACUAAGAAAUCAAAAAUCUUACAAAAGUGGACUUGGCCGUAAUCAAUUUAAAUUAAAGAAAUGAAUAUUACCUAAGACAUGCACACAUCGCCCGUCACUCUAUCCUAAAGGAUAGAUAAGUCGUAACAAAGUAGGUGUAAUGGAAAUUGUACCUGUCGAAGUAUAGCAUAUAAAAUGCUUUUUACUUACACUAAAAAUAAAGUUAAAUAACUUGCUUCGCCCACAUAACAAAAUCUUAUAAAUUAAGCAAUAAUAAAAACAAUAAAUUAAUAAAACUAAUACAAGUACAGAAAUGAAAACAAAAAUAAAUAAAAGUAAAUCUUAACAACUAUACCUUGUGCAUUAUGGUUUUACAAGAAAAUAAUUAAAUAUAUAAAUCCCGAAUUCUAAAUGAGAUGUCAAACUGCUGUUAUGAACCCAUUAUUAACUGUGGCAAAAGAUUUAAAAGACAGUUUGACAGAGGCUACAUACCAUACGCAUAAGAAUAUAGCUGGUUUUCAACAAACAUUAUAUAUUAAAACAUAUAAUUAUAUUAUAGUGUAAUAUUAUUGAGGAUAAGCCCAAUAAUUAAUGCAAUAAUGUAUUUAAUCUAUUUUAUCUUAUAGGCCUAAAACCAGCCAACUAUAACACCUUACCGUAAUAAAAAUAGAAAAAAUAUAUAAUAUAAAAUGCCCAAAAAAGUUGAAACAGGGGAAAAACUAAAUUGCUCCUACCAUAAUAUGUAAAAAUAAGUAUUAUACAAUUAAAACAAAAUAAUCUAGUAAAAACAUCAAAUAAAACAACAAUAAUUAAUUAAGGAACUCGGCAAACAAUUAUUUCGACUGUUUAACAAAAACAUUGUCUUAUGAACACAAUAUUAGAUAAUACCUGCCC